ACGAACGCUGGCGGCGUGCUUAACACAUGCAAGUCGAGCGGUAAGGCCUCUUCGGGGGUACACGAGCGGCGAACGGGUGAGUAACACGUGGGCGACCUGCCCUCAGCUCUGGGAUAAGCCUGGGAAACUGGGUCUAAUACCGGAUAUGACCUCUUGUUGCAUGACUUGGGGUGGAAAGUAUGUCCUUCAUUGGGCACCUCGGCUGUGGAUGGGCCCGCGGCCUAUCAGCUUGUUGGUGGGGUGAUGGCCUACCAAGGGGACGACGGGUAGCCGGCCUGAGAGGGCGACCGGCCACACUGGGACUGAGACACGGCCCAGACUCCUACGGGAGGCAGCAGUGGGGAAUAUUGCGCAAUGGGCGGAAGCCUGACGCAGCGACGCCGCGUGGGGGAUGACGGCCUUCGGGUUGUAAACCUCUUUCGACCCUGACGAAGGCCUUCGGGUUGACGGUAGGGGUAGAAGAAGCACCGGCCAACUACGU
rnacentral:rRNA from 1 species